rnacentral:rRNA from 1 species
GAUGAACGCUGACAGAAUGCUUAACACAUGCAAGUCAAUGGCGAAGCUGCGCUUGCGCAGUCUAGCCAAGGCGGACGGGUGAGUAACGCGUCAUGAACUUGCCCUGCAGACAGGGAUAACAGACUGAAACGACUGAUAACCCCUGGUAUUGUCAGGCUGGCCCAUUCCGGCCUGAUGAAAGGAGACGCUGCAGGAGGGCCUUGCGUCCUAUUAGCUAGUUGGUGGGGUAACGGCCCACCAAGGCGAUGAUAGGUAGCCGGCCUGAGGAGAGGAACGGCCACAAGGGGACGAAGAUGCGGCGGUUACGCCUACGAGGGGCAGCAGUGGGGAAUAAUGGAGAAUGGGGGCAACCAUGAUCCAGCAAUUCUGUGUGGACGAAGAAGGUGUUCGGAGUGUAAAGAGGUUUCAGCAGGGAAGAAGAAAGUGACGGUACCUGCAGAAGAAGCGACGGCUAAAUACGUG